GAUGAACGCUGGCGGCGUGCUUAACACAUGCAAGUCGAACGAUGAAGCCCAGCUUGCUGGGGGGAUUAGUGGCGAACGGGGGAGUAACACGUGAGUAACCUGCCCUUUACACUGGGAUAAGCCUGGGAAACAUGGUCUAAUACCCCAUAGAGGCGUCCACCUCCGGGUGGGGGGUGGGAAGAUUUAUCGGGUUUGGGUGGACGCGCGGCCUAUCAGCUUGUUGGGGAGGGAUAGGCUCACCAAGGCGACGACGGGUAGCCGGCCUGAGAGGGUGACCGGCCACACUGGGACUGAGACACGGCCCAGACUCCUACGGGAGGCAGCAGUGGGGAAUAUUGCACAAUGGGCGCAAGCCUGAUGCAGCGACGCCGCGUGAGGGAUGACGGCCUUCGGGUUGUAAACCUCUUUCAGUAGGGAAGAAGCGAAAGUGACGGUACCUGCAGAAGAAGCACCGGCUAACUACGUG
rnacentral:rRNA from 1 species